rnacentral:rRNA from 1 species
AACGAACGCUGGCGGCAUGCCUAACACAUGCCAGUCGAACGAGACCUUCGGGUCUAGUGGCGCACGGGUGCGUAACGCGUGGGAACCUGCCCUUAGGUUCGGAAUAACUCCCCGAAAGGGGUGCUAAUACCGGAUAAUGUCUUCGGACCAAAGAUUUAUCGCCUUUGGAUGGGCCCGCGUUGGAUUAGCUAGUUGGUAGGGUAAAAGCCUACCAAGGCGACGAUCCAUAGCUGGUCUGAGAGGAUGAUCAGCCACACUGGGACUGAGACACGGCCCAGACUCCUACGGGAGGCAGCAGUGGGGAAUAUUGGACAAUGGGCGAAAGGCUGAUCCAGCAAUGCCGCGUGAGUGAUGAAGGCCUUAGGGUUGUAAAGCUCUUUUACCCGGGAUGAUAAUGACAGUACCGGGAGAAUAAGCUCCGGCUAACUCCGUG